UACGUAGGGGGGCAAGCGUUGUCCGGAUUUAUUGGGCGUAAAGAGCGCGCAGGCGGUCGUGCAAGUCGCGUGUGAAAGCCCCCGGCUCAACUGGGGAGGGUCGUUGGUGACUGUCGCGCUUGAAGGCAGCAGGGGUGAGUGGAAUUCCCGGUGUAGUGGUGAAAUGCGCAGAUAUCAGGAGGAACACCUAUGGCGAAGGCAGCUCUCUGGUACGUGACUGACGCUGAGACGCGAAAGCGUGGGGAAGCGA
rnacentral:rRNA from 1 species